UACAUAGGGUGCAAGCGUUGUCCGGAAUUAUUGGGCGUAAAGAGCUCGUAGGUCGUUAGUUACGUCGGGUGUGAAAAUCUGGGGCUCAACCCCAGACCUGCACUCGAUACGGAUUAGCUAGAGUUUGGUAGGGGAGACUGGAAUUCCUGGUGUAGCGGUGGAAUGCGCAGAUAUCAGGAGGAACACCAAUGGCGAAGGCAGGUCUCUGGGCCAAUACUGACACUGAGGAGCGAAAGCGCGGGGAGCGAACAGG
rnacentral:rRNA from 1 species